UACGAAGGGGGCUAGCGUUGUUCGGAAUUACUGGGCGUAAAGCGCACGUAGGCGGCUUUGCAAGUUAGAGGUGAAAGCCCGGGGCUCAACUCCGGAAUUGCCUUUAAAACUGCAUCGCUAGAAUUGUGGAGAGGUAAGUGGAAUUCCGAGUGUAGAGGUGAAAUUCGUAGAUAUGUGGAGGAACACCGAUGGCGAAGGCAGCCCCCUGGGCUAACACUGACGCUCAUGCACGAAAGCGUGGGGAGCAAACAGG
rnacentral:rRNA from 1 species